UUAUACGACCGUACCGCAAACCGACACUGGUGCGCGAGAUGAGUAUUCUAAGGCGCUUGAGAGAACUCAGGAGAAGGAACUCGGCAAAUUGACACCGUAACUUCGGAAGAAGGUGUGCCCUAUUAGUGUGUAGUGAACUACGAAGCAUGAAUGGGUUGCAAAAAAUCGGUGGCUGCGACUGUUUAUUAAAAACACAGCACUCUGCAAACACGAAAGUGGACGUAUAGGGUGUGACGCCUGCCCGGUGCUGGAAGAUUAAAUGAUGGGGUGCAAGCUCUUGAUUGAAGUCCCAGUAAACGGCGGCCGUAACUAUAACGGUCCUAAGGUAGCGAAAUUCCUUGUCGGGUAAGUUCCGACCUGCACGAAUGGCGUAACGAUGGCCACACUGUCUCCUCCUGAGACUCAGCGAAGUUGAAAUGUUUGUGAUGAUGCAAUCUCCCCGCGGAAAGACGGAAAGACCCCAUGAACCUUUACUGUAGCUUUGUAUUGGACUUUGAACAGAUCUGUGUAGGAUAGGUGGGAGGCUUUGAAGCAGGGUCGCUAGAUCUUGUGGAGCCAACGUUGAAAUACCACCCUGGUGUGUUUGAGGUUCUAACCUAGGUCCAUUAUCUGGAUCGGGGACAGUGCAUGGUAGGCAGUUUGACUGGGGCGGUCUCCUCUCAAAGCGUAACGGAGGAGUUCGAAGGUACGCUAGUUACGGUCGGACAUCGUGACGAUAGUGCAAUGGCAUAAGCGUGCUUAACUGCGAGACUGACAAGUCGAGCAGAUGCGAAAGCAGGACAUAGUGAUCCGGUGGUACUGUAUGGAAGGGCCAUCGCUCAACGGAUAAAAGGUACUCUGGGGAUAACAGGCUGAUACCGCCCAAGAGUUCAUAUCGACGGCGGUGUUUGGCACCUCGAUGUCGGCUCAUCUCAUCCUGGGGCUGUAGCCGGUCCCAAGGGUAUGGCUGUUCGCCAUUUAAAGAGGUACGUGAGCUGGGUUUAAAACGUCGUGAGACAGUUUGGUCCCUAUCUUCCGUGGGCGCUGCAGAUUUGAGGAAGCCUGCUCCUAGUACGAGAGGACCGGAGUGGACACACCUCUGGUGUAUCGGUUGUCACGCCAGUGGCAUUGCCGAGUAGCUAAGUGUGGAAGAGAUAACCGCUGAAAGCAUCUAAGCGGGAAACUCGUUUCAAGAUGAGAUCUGCCGGGGCCUUGAGCCCCCUAAAGAGUCGUUCAAGACCAGGACGUUGAUAGGUCAGGUGUGGAAGUG
rnacentral:rRNA from 1 species